rnacentral:rRNA from 1 species
AUUGCACGCUGGCUGCAUGCUUAACACAUGCAAGUCGAGCGAGCGGCGGACUGGUGAGUAAUGUCUUGGAAACUGCCUGCUGGAGGGAGAUAAAUACUGGAAACGGUAGCUAAUACCGCAUACCAUCAGAUGUGGCCACAUGGGAUUAGCUAGUAGGUGGGGUACUGGCUCACCUAGGCGACGAUCCCUCGCUGGCCGUAGAGGAUGAACAGCCACACUGGAACUGAGAUACGGUCCAGACUCCUACGGGAGGCAGCAGUGGGGAAUAUUGCACAAUGGGCGAAAGUCUGAUGAAGCCAUGCCGCGUGUGUGAAGAAGGCCUUCGGGUUGUAAAGCACUGUCAGCGAGGAGGCGUUACUCGCAGAAGAAGCACCGGCUAACUCCGUGCCAGCAGCCGCGGUAAUAC